CUCAGUGUAUUGGGGUGUGUGAAGUAUAUUGGGGUGCCCUGUGCGUUAGAUGUGAGGGGGCAGUGUAUUAUAUUUGGGGGAUGUGCGUUAGAUGGGGAGCUGUACCGUUCGUGUGGCCUGUGUGUUAGAUGUGUACAACCCUAGUUUCACAAAAAAAUAUUUAUUUCCUAUAUAUAUACCAUGGCAUGCUUUUUGCUACGAAACCGCAGCCAUCUAGUCACUCACCAGAGAAGGAUGAGAAACUGCACCCCAGCCAGAGGGACUGCCCCACAUCUGCAACCAAAUCCGUUGGUCACCGAAUUCAGUAAUCUCUGUCUUUUUGUCCAUUCUGUAUGUAUGGUACUCCCACUUCUUAUAUUUAAUCCAGUGUGUCUCCCACAAUCUUUGUGUCUGUUUGCUGUAUGUAUGUGGCACGCAAGUCUGCAUGCACUGUGUCUUUUAUGCCAUUUACUCUAACCAGUUUUUCUUUUGGUUUUUUGUGUGUGUCACAACUUUGACAAGCCUGUUCUUCUAUGGGACACGAAGUAAAUGAAGAGGAAUAAAGAAGCCCAUGUUUGAUGCUCGUCUCCAGGGUGGAGUAUUGAAUUUAUAAGUACUGAAGUGGCAUCUGGCACUUGACAAGAUUCUCCUGUUUGCACAGCGACUUCAAUAUUGUGUACUGUGAUCACGGACUAGUUCAGAGGUAGGUAACCUUGGGCAGUCCAAAUGCUGUGAAUUAAAUCUCCCAUAAUGCUGGCAAAGCAUUAUGGAAGGUGUAGUCCAAAACAUCUGGAAUAUCGAAUGCGUAUGAAUGAAAAGUAUGGUGUGUGUGAAUGGUCAGUAACAAGGGUUGAAGCCUUGACGUGGCAUUACUGCUCACAUGUGUAUCCAUGUGCCAAUUCAACCAAUGUGAGUGACUAAUACUUAUGAGGUAACCAUAAAUACAGUGACUAUGGAGAAUUAAACGCCUGCAUCACCUAAACACUGCUUAUAUGGUGACCGUAUCUCCUAAACACUGCUUGCACUGUGACCGUACCAUCUAAACACUGCUUACACUGUGACCAUACCUCCUAAACACUGCUUACACUGUGACCGUACCAUCUAAACACUGCUUACACUGUGACCGUACCAUCUAAACACUGCUUAUACUUAUCGGGAUCCAUCAAAGGUGAAAUCUAGGGUGAUAUACUCCAUGCCACUUUAAUCGGGGGUAAUAAAGUGUCCCAGUAUGGGAUGAGACCAUCGUUCUGUUUAACAAGAGGACAGUUGUGCAUCAUCUAUGACUGGCGGCUCUGCAGGAAUUCAACAGGUUCAUGAAAUGGAACCCUCUGUUGCAUUAGACCCAAUUCUGAGAUUAUGACUGAACCCUAAAGCACUUCAUUUUUUAUGAUAUUUUAUUUAUGUAUUUUGAAUGUUGUGCAAAGACCCCAGAUGGUCACUGUUCAACUUGUAUUCCAGUGGCCAUGAAGGGCAGGUGAAGGUAGUUUUUACUUGACUUAAAAUGUCCUUUGUAUGCAUUUUCUUUCUCAAGGUCCUCUUCAGCUCCUGGAGCGUUAAUCUGCCAGGAGCCAAUGGAAGCGUUCUACUCAAGUGCAUGCAUUAGCUCUGUCUUUUGUCAAAAGUAGGAAAAAUGCUUAAAGGACCACUAUAGUGCCAGGAAAACACUUGUUUUCCUGGCACUAUAGUGCCCUAAGGGUGCCCCCACCCUCAGGGUCCACCUCCCGCCCGGCUCUGGAAGGGGGAAAGGGGUAAAAACUUACCUUUUUCCAGCGCUGGGCGGGGAGCUCUGCCUCCGAUCCUCCUCCUCUCCGUUGGCUGAAUGCGCACGCGCAGCUCUUGCUCAAUGCUUUCCUAUGGAUGCUUGCGUGCUCUCACUGUGAUUUUCACAGUGAGAAGCACGCAAGCGCCUCUAGCGGCUGUCAACGAGACAGCCACUAGAGGUUUUGGGGGAAGGCUUAACCCAUUCAUAAACAUAGCAGUUUCUCUGAAACUGCUAUGUUUAUAUAAAAAAAAAAAAUGGUUAACCCUAGCUGGACCUGGCACCCAGACCACUUCAUUAAGCUGAAGUGGUCUGGAUGCCUAGAGUGGUCCUUUAAGAUAAAGUUGUUCCGGUUUGCUCUUAAUUUGUGGGCGUUGCAGGGAUGCUUUAAGUCAAAAUUGAAAGCACUCUAUCAUUCUUUCUAUUCUACGCCUCUAAUCCUCAACAUGGAAAUUGUAGUUUGUAAUAAUAGAAAAUAUGUAGAUUGUAAUAUGCUUUAUGGUUACGUUCUGGUGAGUUUUAACUUAAUUUUUUUUAUUUUUACAGCUCCUUAGGGAAGGCGCAAACCACCUUGAGGAGUCCCUGCAUAAGAGACUAUUGGAUACAGAAGGCUGUACUAAAGGAAGUUCUCAUCACCGCAUCAUCCAAGCCCUAGUCAGGAGUAUAUGAGGCCUCUUAAGAGUAAAGAGCGACUAACAAUAUCUGAUAAUAGGCCACGUGCAAUUAUUAUGUAUGUAAUGUACAACAUACUUUUUCACUUUUUGUUACAUUAGAGAUUAACAAAUAUUGUUAGACUUUGUUUACUGCUGACUUAAAAAAAAAAUUAAAACUCCAAACAAUUUUGAAAUGUGCAGUGAAAUGUGUAUCUGUAAUCAACGUUAACCUGCUAAUUAUUGUGGGACAACGGAGAGCAACUGUAGCGGAUGGCACUGGGCUGUCCUGCAAAUGUCUUUGAAAAUAAUUGCAUUCGUGUGAUCUGCUAGUUUUCUAUGUGUUUAAAAG